rnacentral:misc_RNA from 1 species
UUGUGUACAAUAAAUACACAACAUGAAUUUGUUUAAAAUGAUAAAAAAUUUAAGAUAAUUGAUUUAAUUCUCAAUCAAAACCAAUAUUAAUUUAUUAUUCAUAAUUUUCAUGACAGACUAUUCUAACAGUAGUGUACCCUACCCUUUUAAAUAAGUCUCACAGUUGUUCAUUAUAUGUGUGAUAUGUCAUAUACUGAGCUUGAACAUGGGUAUCAAGGAUUGCGACAAGCUACUCAACCACAAUUUUAUGUUGGUGAUGAUGGAAAUCUUGUUCCCAUAAGAUCUGGUGAAUUGGAUCUAUGCGAAUCAUUAGACUGCGAUGGCGGCGGAAAAAAAGUGGUGGUCGGCGUAUGUGCCAUGGCGAAGAAGUCACAAUCGAAACCCAUGAAGGAGAUCCUGACGAGGCUCGACGAGUUCGAAUACAUCAAGAUGCUGGUCUUCCCUGAGGAGGUUAUCCUUAAGCAACCAGUGGAGGAGUGGCCUAUCUGUGACUGUCUGAUUUCAUUUCACUCCAAAGGCUUCCCAUUGGACAAAGCGAUACAGUACGAGAAACUAAGGAAACCCUACGUGAUAAAUAAUCUUCAUAUGCAAUACGACAUACAGGACCGUCGAAGAGUUUACGCCAUACUGGAAGGGGAAGGUAUAGAGAUACCACGGUACGCGGUUCUGGAUAGAGACUCACCAGAUCCAAAACAUCACGAGUUAGUUGAAUCUGAAGACCACGUCGAAGUGAACGGGGUUGUGUUCAACAAGCCGUUCGUGGAGAAGCCCGUGUCCGCUGAGGACCACAAUAUAUACAUUUACUACCCGACGUCGGCUGGGGGAGGCAGUCAACGCCUGUUUAGGAAGAUUGGAAGUCGCAGUAGUAUAUACUCGCCAGAGUCCAGAGUCAGAAAGACUGGAUCCUUUAUUUAUGAAGAUUUUAUGCCGACCGAUGGUACAGAUGUAAAGGUGUACACGGUGGGCCCCGACUAUGCACACGCCGAAGCCAGGAAGAGUCCAGCUCUAGACGGCAAAGUGGAGAGAGACUCUGAAGGCAAGGAAAUCAGGUAUCCAGUGAUCCUGUCCAACCAGGAGAAAUUGAUCUCGAGGAAAGUGUGCCUGGCCUUCAAGCAAACCGUUUGUGGAUUCGAUUUGUUGAGAGCGAACGGCAAGUCCUUCGUGUGUGACGUGAACGGAUUUUCGUUUGUGAAAAACUCGAAUAAGUACUACGACGAUUGCGCCAAGAUACUCGGUAAUAUGAUUUUGAGGGAAUUGGCACCGACGCUGCACAUACCGUGGUCGGUGCCCUUCCAGCUCGACGACCCCCCCAUUGUUCCCACCACUUUUGGCAAGAUGAUGGAGCUCCGAUGCGUCGUAGGCGUCAUAAGGCACGGCGACAGAACUCCCAAACAGAAGAUGAAGGUAGAAGUCAGACAUCCGAGAUUCUUCGAGAUCUUUGAGAAAUACGACGGCUACAAGCGCGGACACGUGAAGCUAAAGAAGCCGAAACAGCUCCAGGAGAUACUGGACAUCGCGCGCGCGCUGCUCGCCGACAUACACACGAGGCACGCCGACCCGGAGAUCGAGGAGAAGCAGGGGAAACUCGAACAGCUCAAAAGCGUUCUGGAAAUGUACGGUCACUUCUCUGGGAUCAACCGCAAGGUGCAGAUGAAGUACCAGCCCCGCGGGCGGCCGCGCGGCUCCAGCUCCGACGACGGUAACGCGCCCCCCACGCACGUAGGGUGCGCGGGCGAGCCGUCGCUGGUGCUGAUCCUGAAGUGGGGCGGCGAGCUGACGCCGGCCGGCCGCAUCCAGGCCGAGGAGCUCGGACGGAUGUUUCGCUGUAUGUACCCCGGCGGACAGGGGCGCCAUAUACCAGGUGAAGCCGGCACCCAAGGUCUCGGCCUUCUGCGUCUCCAUUCGACUUUCCGUCACGACCUCAAGAUUUAUGCGUCCGACGAGGGGCGCGUGCAAAUGACCGCCGCCGCCUUCGCGAAGGGACUGUUGGCGCUCGAGGGAGAACUCACGCCGAUCCUCGUGCAGAUGGUGAAGUCGGCCAACACCAACGGGCUGUUAGACAACGACUGCGACUCUUCGAAGGUUCAAAACAUGGCGAAGGCUCGGCUGCACGAGGCGAUGCAGGUGGACCGCGACUUCACGGACGAGGACCGGUGGCGCAUCAACCCGUGCGGCUCGCUCAGCAUCUCCACGGCUAUGGAGUUCGUGAAGAACCCGGCGCGGUGCUGCGCGCACGUGCACGCGCUCAUACACCACCUGCUGCGCAUCGUGCUCGCCAAGCGGGACGACCCCAAGACCAAAGACACUAUUCUAUACCACGGCGAGACCUGGGAGCUGAUGGGUCGACGCUGGGGUAAAAUAGAAAAGGAUUUCUGCACGAAAAACAAAACUUACGAUAUUUCGAAGAUCCCCGACAUAUACGACUGCAUCAAGUACGACCUCCAGCACAACCAGCACACGCUGCAGUUCGACUGCGCCGAGGAGCUUUACAUAUAUGCUAAAUAUUUGGCGGACAUCGUCAUACCGCAGGAAUAUGGUUUGACGAUGCAAGAAAAGUUAACAAUUGGUCAAGGGAUAUGUACGCCAUUGUUGAAAAAAAUAAGAGCAGAUUUGCAAAGAAAUAUAGAAGAAUCCGGCGAAGAGACUGUUAAUAGAUUAAAUCCUAGGUACAGUCACGGCGUGUCGAGCCCGGGCCGCCACGUGCGCACGCGACUGUACUUCACCAGCGAGAGCCACGUGCACUCCCUGCUCACCGUACUGAGGUUCGGAGGCCUGCUGGAUGUGAUGAAAGAUGAGCAAUGGCGUCGUGCGAUGGAGUACGUUUCGAUGGUGUCGGAAUUGAACUACAUGUCGCAGAUUGUCGUUAUGCUCUACGAAGAUCCCACCAAAGAUCCGUUUUCAGAAGAAAGAUUCCACGUGGAGCUCCACUUCAGUCCCGGCGUGAACUGCUGCGUGCAGAAGAACCUGCCGCCCGGCCCCGGCUUCCGACCACACAGCCGGAAUCAUUCCACUACUAAUAACUCGAGUUCAUCGGACGAGGUGAAAUGCAUCGAAGAGGAAGGGGAAGAUGACAACACAGCCAGUCAAGAAACUCUACAACCUGUGAUGCAUGACGAUACGUUACAGGACGCGGCGGACGACUUCGACAGCGCCUUCUCGCCGAGACGCACCACCAUGCUGAAGGCGUCCGAUCCCAUACCGAUAUGUAAUUUACAUCACACUGUAAGCGGACACGAGGCGUCCUCGCUGGCGGCGCGCCUCAACCACGAGCUGCGGGUGCGCACGCUCACCGACGACGACGCCGCGGCACAGAUCGAUCAGCAAUCGUCUAAAGAAACGUCUGAAGAGCAUCCGCCGCGGGCCCGAAGCUACGACCAACACAAGCAGAGCCAUGACAACGUGUCGGAGCUGGGCGAGAUGCGGUCCAGCGGCUGUCUCCGCUACCAGGGCGUGCAGGUCGUCGACAGACAAGAAUGUCGGCCACCCGCACUAACGUUGACGACGCCCUCCCGGCGCGGCUCGAGCUCCAGUCCGAGCCCGGGCGAGCCGGUCACUCCUCUCAUUAACGUGGAGGGCGUCGAAUCCUCGACUAACGAGCUUCCCUUGUCCGCCAUCACGUUCGGGGCUCGUGGGAGCUCGUGGCCGCGGCUGGAGGGCUGUAGCGUGUGGGCCGCAGGGCGGCGCCAGCGGCACAGCAUCGCCGGCCAGAUGAGCUACCUCAAGAUGCUGGGACUCGGAGCGCGCGGCAAACUAGGCGCGGGACUCUUCAGUACGGCAGUCAUCUCCGGAUCCAGCUCUGCCCCUAAUCUCCGCGUUAUGAUACCCUCCACGUCUGCUGCAAAUGCGGCGCUGGAAGGUUUCGGCGGCGUGCCCGCGAUCCGUCCGCUGGAGACGCUGCACAACGCGCUGUCGCUGCGCCAGCUCGACGCCUUCCUGGAGCGGGUGACGGCGGCGCCCGUGCUGCUGCAGCCGCCGCCGCCGCCGCCGCGGGUCAAGCCGCCUUCACCAACCAACAGUGUCGGUUGGAGUGGGCCUUCGUCGCUGAUGUCUUCCUCGGGAGAAUUGCCUAGCGGCCUCUCCUCUGCUGGGCCAUCCUCACCUAACUCAAACUACGCUACAAAUUCAGAAAACAAGAACUCUUCGGAAAGGUUCUUCUAUUAGCGGCGACUUGACUCCGGUGUCGAACGCUUCGGAGCUGGAAUUCAACAGCAACGAGGCGACGGCCGGCUCGAUCACUGAUCACGAUCUAAUGAGUGCAGAAGGAGAAGACGACGAAGAGACUCUGUCCAUUGACGCGUACAGCUCCAGUUUGAAGAUUAUAAAGAACGAUCUCAGCCCUCAUUCCUUCGCUGGGGCGUCCACACU